AAUAUAAUAACCUGAAUGCAACCUGCUACUAGUACUUGAGGCAGAAUGCUUUUUGAACGAGAGCUCUCAAACAAUUCCCCACUGUGGUGGACGUUCGGUGGUGGAACCAAGUUGACUGUGGGCUUGAAAGAUAAUGUGAAGCCAACAGUAUCCGUGUUUCCUCCCUCUAAGGAUGAACUCGAGGGCAACAGGAAGGCCACUCUGGCAUGUCUGGUAAACAAGUUCUACCCGGAAGAUUUAAAGGUGGAAUGGUAUAACGGUGAAAGCCUGAUCUCUAGUGAUGUCAAGACAAGUGACACCUUACUGGAAACGGAUGGAACCUUCAGCUUGAGCAGCACCGUCACCCUGACAUACGACCAGUGGAACUCCAAGAGCACUUUCUUCUGCAAAGUUACACAUGUCACUCUGAGUCCAUCACAGAAAUGGCCUGUGUCGAGUGCAGAUUGUAGUGUUUAGAUUAAAUAGCCACUAGGAAAAAAACAAAUAAAACACUUCUAAUGCUUCUGAUUGUUAAUGAACGAUUAAGGGCUGUAGCUUUUCUUGUAGUAGUUUAAUAAUCGUAGGUUACAGCCUGGUCUGUUGCUUUGUUUCUGUUGUAAUUUGUGUCUGUAUGGUGCAUUGUCAUGUGUUCAAGCUGCACUUAAAAGAGCAAGUCUAAUAAAUGUGUUGAUCAAUCAUGAA